rnacentral:rRNA from 1 species
GAUGAACGCUGGCGGCGUGCCUAAUACAUGCAAGACGAGCGAACAGACGAGGAGCUUGCUCCUCUGACGUUAGCGGCGGACGGGUGAGUAACACGUGGAUAACCUACCUAUAAGACUGGGAUAACUUCGGGAAACCGGAGCUAAUACCGGAUAAUAUAUUGAACCGCAUGGUUCAAUAGUGAAAGACGGUUUUGCUGUCACUUAUAGAUGGAUCCGCGCCGCAUUAGCUAGUUGGUAAGGUAACGGCUUACCAAGGCAACGAUGCGUAGCCGACCUGAGAGGGUGAUCGGCCACACUGGAACUGAGACACGGUCCAGACUCCUACGGGAGGCAGCAGUAGGGAAUCUUCCGCAAUGGGCGAAAGCCUGACGGAGCAACGCCGCGUGAGUGAUGAAGGUCUUCGGAUCGUAAAACUCUGUUAUUAGGGAAGAACAAAUGUGUAAGUAACUAUGCACGUCUUGACGGUACCUAAUCAGAAAGCCACGGCUAACUACGUG